CCUAAUUCGGAUCAUUAUGGUUCAUUCCAUAUAUACAGCAAAUAGGGUUUCAUCUUCUUCAACACACUUCAUUCACGACCUAGGGUUUCUGCAACUUCAUUCUUUCUGCCUCUCCUUCAUCAUUGCAUCUCUCAGGAUCUCAAAUCGUCAUCAGCAAGUUAUAUUUCUGAUAUUCAAAUGUCGUCUACACCAAGAUCUAAAAAAACGGGGUGGCCGGAGAAGACGAUGAUCAAAAGGGUUCAUCCAGAUUUGAUUUUCUACGGUGGCCGGAGAACACACAACCCAGUACUUUUGUUUCCCCAUUUCUUCAUCUUCUCUCAUACGGCAGGCGAUUAGGGUUUUUUAUCUCAUAACCACACAACCCGGUCCUUUUGUUUCCCCAGGGUUCGUAUGGUCUAAGAAUGAGGAUGGUCUAACAAUGAGUAACGGGUAGGGUUCAGUGGACGGCGAUGAUCUAGCAACGAUAGAUGAGUAGUAUCAGAUCUAUCAAAGACAAGAAAGUGGUGACGAUACAUAUGUUGGUUAGAAUCGCUCAUGGUCAGGUUUACCAGUAAUCAUUUGUUUCUUUUUGUAUCUUGCCGAUGUUCAUCUAAUCAUCGCUAGCUUCUACGUCUUUAAAGAAGGGUUAAAGUUAAAAAGGAAGUUGAGCGGUGAAUCUCAAAGUUUUCAGCCGGAGGCCAAGAUGGGAGCAGCAUGACUGAUUUGGUAAAUAAUGAAAGGACGAUAAACGUGACAGAUGAAAAAAGGCUCAAAACCUGGUGAUUAUACUUCAUAUAUUCGGCUGAUUUUUAAUGGUGGUUGAAAAACUUUUUAAAGAUAGAAAAGGGUGAACACGUCCAUAUGAGAGACUAUUGUUGAGUAUAGAGACUGUUUUAUGUGCGCCUUCACAACGUGUUCCUCCGAAGCAAUGGUCUAAGAAAGAUGGACGUGAAGGGACCAUUGACAAAGGUAUAUAAGUUGGGUUAUCUAUAUGUGCUAAUUUAUUCUAAUAACCAGGUAGUCUUGGAGAUGUUGCCGGCGCGUUACCGAAGGCUUUGGCUCAGCGUUGUUUCAUAUGUGCUUUAGGUCUGCACAACUGCACAAGUUGUAGCUUAUGGUUGUUAAUAUUACAAUAAUAUAAAUAUCAUUGAUUGAGGUAAGGCCAAAAUGUCCUGUUUUUGUUUAUAGGUGAAAUAACAUUUGUUUUAUGUGUCCUAAUUAUUCAAUUGGUAUUGCUUUAAGUCUUUAACAUACUAAUAGUUAUUUCUUUUGUGUAUCAUGCUAAGUCUUGACAUGUAUACAUGUAUUCGUUGUUGUCAUCUCUAUGAUUUCCAAACUGCCGUCACCACCAAAAUCAACUUUCACUUUCUUAGCGAUUAAGGUAAUCAUCUAUUUAGGACACAUAAAACAAAUGUUAUUUAGGGAUUAAGGUAAUCAUCUAAUCAUCUUAACUGAAUUUCUACGUACUUAUAUGAUUGGCCGUUUUCUUAAUUAGGGAAUAAAUAUCAUGUCUCUUGACUUGGCUUCUUUUACAAUUGGUGAGGAGUUAACAUUUGGCUGUUGAGACCAGCGGCCAUGGAGCACUCAAUAAGAAUCAGUAGCUUGAUGAUGGUAACAAGAAGCAGCGAUUUAGGGUGGAAUAGAGUUAAAAAAUAUGGCUAUUGAGGGAAAAAAGCUGAGCGACAAUGAUGAGAAGAAGGUAAUGAUCUUUCCCCUCUUCGUAAUUUUUCUCUGAACUGUUUUGCUGGUAAAAAAGUUAGUUUUGCCUAUCGAUUACUCUUUUAUGAUGUUAAGCUCAAACCAAAAAAUAGGUAUUAUACUUCAAAUAUAGUCCUCUUCGUAAUUUUUCUCUCAACCGUUUUGCUUUGCUGGUAAAAAAGUUAGUUUUGCCUAUCGAUUACUCUUUUACGAUGUUAAGCCUUAAACCAAAAAAUAGGUGUUAUACUUCAAAUAUAGUCAAAAUAAAUUUCAAGAAAAUAGCCUUAUGAUUCUGUUUUAAUACAUGAUUUACUUAAUUAUAAAGACAUAAAUUUAAAGAAGGGAAUUGGAAAUUUUACUUCAUGAAAAUCAUAAAGGUGUACUACUCUUUUCGGAAUGACAAAAAGAAAAAGGACGGGAUCUAAAUAUAUGUUUUUCUUGAUUGUUCUUUACUGUUAUAUAUCGAUUUUCUUAUAGUUUGAAUUUGAUUCAAAUACAAUGGGUUGCCAAACCAUGAGUUGAACAGAAGGUUUCAAAAUAGAAUUUAGAGAAUUUAAGCAUAAAAAAAAUAUGGUAUAGUCAGAUGGUUAGAUGGUUAGACUGAGAAAUCAUGGUGGCUGGUGAGAAUGUGAUAACUUUUUAAAGUGCCUAAAGUGUUUGUGUGAAUGUUUAAAUGGAAUUAGUUUGCAACUUGAGAUUGAUGUAUUUUGUUUGUUUUUGUAGACAAGAUGGAUGUCGAAAGGAUAUCCACUAGGAGAUGGGUACUGACUUGGCCUUAAACCACAAUUGAAACUGUUGAUGAUAACCUCUUAAAACUUUUGGUCAAAAAGUAUGCUUUCUCAAUUUUAUGUAAAGUUAAAGAAAAAAUGGGGCGUGUCUGUAGGUCUUUCUAUUUGGAUGUUUCUUUAUCCAAGGGAAAACGUUUUGAUAACCUAAAAGCUUGGCCUGUUUUUGCUAACAUGCCUGACAAAAUCAUGGAAGUUUCUCCAAUAAUACAAAUGAUUGUUGUUGAACCGCUUGCUUUUGUUGCUCCUGAUAAAGAUGAAGAGGUAUGCUAAAGGAUCAUCACAGUUUUAUCCCUGGCUUUUUUUUUUUUUUUAUCUUUAUAACUUCAAUAGCAUUUAACAAUUAAGAGGUAUGCUAAAGCAUCCUCAUAGUUCUAUCACUGACUUUUUAUAUAUAAUCUUUAUGACUUCAAUAGCAUUUAACAAGUUAGUGUGUUUGGCAUAGUGUAUUCUUGGUGAUAUAUGGAAGGGAAAUGUCACCAGCAGUGAGUUAAAUGCUGGAAAAAUGGUAAUCUCUUCUUAGUGGAGGAAGUGGUUGACCCAAAUAAUACGUCUUGAAAAUUUCUAGAGCACUUGAUUGGUAGAGAAAGCGCAUUACUUCGUAGAGGUUUUUGGUUGAUAUGAAGAAUAACAGGGAUAAUGUAAAGUAACCCAAAAGAGCGUAAAAUGUCCACGAAGCAAAAGAUGCAAGCGAACCAUUUUUGAAAGUCCAUGGACGUCUAUUGAUCUUUACGGGUCAAUUAAUUUAGGAUUUUAAAUAGGAUAACGAAUUAAAUGGAAAAUAGAAAAAAAUUAAUAUUGAACUCUUUGAUCCAACAAUAGUUCUUAUGUGUUGUUUUUUUAUAUUAAUUUUAAAUUCAUUACGUGGAUUUUUUUUGGUUUAUAAACCUUUUGUAUUGGAUAAUAUUUGGUUAUAAACAACAACUUGGAUGUGUUAA